UGACGAUCAUGUUCUCCAUUCUGGUGUUCGGCCUCUUCACGCUCAUCGGGAUGGUCGGCGAGUGGUGUCCACUUUUAAAAGAAACAAAGGAUAAGCUCCAAAGCGAGGAGCUGUUGGUGUAAACGUCAAAAAGCAGCAGAGAAAUCAUUUCCUAUCAGGCGCUCCGAGGACAUCUUAACACCUUGAGCUUUUAUCAGCACUCCAAACAAAGACUGCCUGGGCUGACCUCUGAAAACAUAUGGGUGUACUCUGAGAAGAGACGCUUUUAUUUUCAUUCCAAGCACAAAGGAGUGCCUACAUUGUGCACUGAAAAAAAGUGGCACUUGGUUCAGCAGCUCCAGCGUCGCCUGCCAGCUGGCUCUGCUUUCUGGAGGCGAGGAGACAAAAUGCUUUUAUUUUGAAGUUUUAAUCUGGGGAAACAGCCUUCGCUAUUCUUCUCUCAUUGUAUAGAUGGAAUUGCCUUUCACUGGAGUUGAGCUCACCUUCAUCAUCAUAGCCUUCGUCAUAUUCUCCCUCUUCAGCUUGGCUUCAGUCUGCCUCCAGCCACGAGGGGUGCCGUCAGAGAACACUGGGUGUAAUGUCAGGAAGUCCAAACCACACAGCAGCAAGCUGAGAGUGAUCACCAAACAAGCUGGAGAGGAAUCAUAAAAACAGGAGACUCUGGUCAGCUGAACGAACUAAACUCCAUAUUUUAGGCCAUAUGUAAAAGAUUUGUCACUCCAGAUGAAGAUUUCCUAAUAAAUGGCUCAUUAUGUCCAUUAAAAACA